CCUACGGGUGACUGCAGUGGGGAAUAUUGCACAAUGGGCGCAAGCCUGAUCCAGCCAUGCCGCGUGUCUGAAGAAGGCCUUCGGGUUGUAAAGGACUUUUGUCAGGGAAGAAAAGGAUAGGGUUAAUACCCCUGUCUGAUGACGGUACCUGAAGAAUAAGCACCGGCUAACUACGUGCCAGCAGCCGCGGUAAUACGUAGGGUGCGAGCGUUAAUCGGAAUUACUGGGCGUAAAGCGAGCGCAGACGGUUACUUAAGCAGGAUGUGAAAUCCCCGGGCUCAACCUGGGAACUGCGUUCUGAACUGGGUGACUAGAGUGUGUCAGAGGGAGGUAGAAUUCCACGUGUAGCAGUGAAAUGCGUAGAGAUGUGGAGGAAUACCGAUGGCGAAGGCAGCCUCCUGGGAUAACACUGACGUUCAUGCUCGAAAGCGUGGGUAGCAAACAGGAUUAGAUACCCUUGUAGUC
rnacentral:rRNA from 1 species